rnacentral:tRNA from 1 species
CAUUAGAUGACUGAAAGUAAGUAUUGGUCUCUUAAACCAUUCAAUAGUAAAUUGACGAUUACUUCUAAUGA